AUUGAACGCUGGCGGCAGGCUUAACACAUGCAAGUCGAGCGGGGUGAUGGUGCUUGCACUAUCACUUAGCGGCGGACGGGUGAGUAAUGCUUAGGAAUCUGCCUAUUAGUGGGGACAACAUCUCGAAAGGGAUGCUAAUACCGCAUACGUCCUACGGGAGAAAGCAGGGGAUCACUUGUGACCUUGCGCUAAUAGAUGAGCCUAAGUCGGAUUAGCUAGUUGGUGGGGGAAAGGCCUACCAAGGCGACGAUCUGUAGCGGGUGUGAGAGGAUGAUCAGCCACACUGGGACGGAGAAACGGACCAGAGUCCUACGGGAGGCAGCAGUGGGGAAUAUUGGAAAAUGGGGGGAACCCUGAUCCAGCCACGCCGCGUGUGUGAAGAAGGCCUUAUGGUUGUAAAGCACUUUAAGCGAGGAGGAGGCUCUUUUGGUUAAUACCCAAGAUGAGUGGACGUUACUCGCAGAAUAAGCACCGGCUAACUCUGUGCCAGCCGCCGCCGUAA
rnacentral:rRNA from 1 species